AUCAAUAGCUUACAUUAUUUUAGUGCAAUCUAUGGAAGAAAUGUUCCGGGCACCAUCAUUGUCAAUGGCAGCAGCUGGCACAACUCUAAGCAACAAUAACAACAACAACAACAACAACAACAAGUGAACCAUCUGCUAUAAAGGCAGCUGCUGCUG
rnacentral:lncRNA from 1 species